AACAGGAUUAGAUACCCUGGUAGUCCACGCUGUAAACGAUGUCGACUUGGAGGUUGUGCCCUUGAGGCGUGGCUUCCGGAGCUAACGCGUUAAGUCGACCGCCUGGGGAGUACGGCCGCAAGGUUAAAACUCAAAUGAAUUGACGGGGGCCCGCACAAGCGGUGGAGCAUGUGGUUUAAUUCGAUGCAACGCGAAGAACCUUACCUACUCUUGACAUCCAGAGAAUUUGCUAGAGAUAGCUUAGUGCCUUCGGGAACUCUGAGACAGGUGCUGCAUGGCUGUCGUCAGCUCGUGUUGUGAAAUGUUGGGUUAAGUCCCGCAACGAGCGCAACCCUUAUCCUUUGUUGCCAGCACGUAAUGGUGGGAACUCAAAGGAGACUGCCGGUGAUAAACCGGAGGAAGGUGGGGAUGACGUCAAGUCAUCAUGGCCCUUACGAGUAGGGCUACACACGUGCUACAAUGGCAUAUACAAAGAGAAGCGAACUCGCGAGAGCAAGCGGACCUCAUAAAGUAUGUCGUAGUCCGGAUUGGAGUCUGCAACUCGACUCCAUGAAGUCGGAAUCGCUAGUAAUCGUAGAUCAGAAUGCUACGGUGAAUACGUUCCCGGGCCUUGUACACACCGCCCGUCACACCAUGGGAGUGGGUUGCAAAAGAAGUAGGUAGCUUAACCUUCGGGAGGGCGCUUACCACUUUGUGAUUCAUGACUGGGGUGAAGUCGUAACAAGGUAACC
rnacentral:rRNA from 1 species